rnacentral:rRNA from 1 species
CCAAGACAACUUUACGGAGUUGACGAUUGACGGAGCGAAGCGACGUCAAAGCGUUCAUUAAAGUCGAGUUGGCUUAGGGAUACGUUCGUUGGGUAGGGGAGCGUUCUGUAAGCCUGUGAAGGUGUGUCGUGAGGCAUGCUGGAGGUAUCAGAAGUGCGAAUGCUGACAUAAGUAACGAUAAAGCGGGUGAAAAGCCCGCUCGCCGGAAGACCAAGGGUUCCUGUCCAACGUUAAUCGGGGCAGGGUGAGUCGACCCCUAAGGCGAGGCCGAAAGGCGUAGUCGAUGGGAAACGGGUUAAUAUUCCCGUACUUGGUGUUACUGCGAAGGGGGGACGGAGAAGGCUAUGUUGGCCGGGCGACGGUUGUCCCGGUUUAAGCGUGUAGGUGUGUGUUCCAGGUAAAUCCGGUUCACUUUAACACUGAGGCGUGACGACGAGGCACUACGGUGCUGAAGCAACAAAUGCCCUGCUUCCAGGAAAAGCCUCUAAGCAUCAGGUAACACGAAAUCGUACCCCAAACCGACACAGGUGGUCAGGUAGAGAAUACCAAGGCGCUUGAGAGAACUCGGGUGAAGGAACUAGGCAAAAUGGUGCCGUAACUUCGGGAGAAGGCACGCUGACACGUAGGUGAAGUGAUUUACUCAUGGAGCUGAAGUCAGUCGAAGAUACCAGCUGGCUGCAACUGUUUAUUAAAAACACAGCACUGUGCAAACACGAAAGUGGACGUAUACGGUGUGACGCCUGCCCGGUGCCGGAAGGUUAAUUGAUGGGGUCAGCG